rnacentral:lncRNA from 1 species
UUUUUUUUUUUUUUUUUUUGCCAUUUCUUCAGCUGCUCCCGCAGCAUAUGGAAGUUCCCAGGCUAGGGGUCUAAUCGGAGCUGUAGCUGCCAGCCUACACCAGAGCCAGAGCAACACAUCAUCCGAGCCACGUCUGAGACCUACACCACAGCUCAUGGCAACACCGGAUCGUUAACCCACUGAGCAAGGCCAGGGAUCGAACCCGCAACCUCAUGGUUCCUAGUUGGAUUCGUUAACCUCUGCGCCACAAUGGGAACUCCAGACAGCUCAUUUUAAAAACAGAGGAUUUGCCUCUGUCAGGCUCGAGACUGGACCAGAGUUUUCUCUUAGGUGGAUGCUGGGAUUUAAUAUCCACGCAUGAAGCAAAGUCAUGUACAAGCCAAGAACCCUUGAAAGUUCCUUAAAUCACCCAUGGAUCAGAGUGUUUGGGAAGACAGCCUCAUACCUGAUCCUGCACUGGCAAGUCUGAACCUCUGAGUGAGAGGCGAAGGGGGAGAGGGAGGGGGAGUGGAGGGGGGAGGGCCAGUGGGUCUGCCUCACAGGUGCUGGGGUCCGACAGGAAACUACACCCCAGCAGUGAUGGCGCUAGAGAGAGGGCAGAGCUUUCCAGGUGAUCCUGGCCUCAGAACUGUCCCUCACAUCUGCUCGCAGCUGGCUCCUGGCCGUGAGGAGCACGAGACAGAACACAGGUGGAGCCCCCGCCCAGGCCUGGGCACACAAAGGUGCCCAAGAUGUUUCCUAACCUGCAGCCCACCUCGCUGGACCAGGCCCACAUCUUAUGUUCUCAGUGGCGCGUCUUCUCACCUUCCUGGUGCCACUCCCUCACCGGCCCAGUUGCCCCGCAGCUCUCACACCUCCUCCGGCAGGGAACUCUGUAGCGUCCAGCGUUGAGGAGGAGAGAGGACUGCUGGCCACUGAAGGCUGCCAGGCCAGCUGACGAGUGGAUGGAGGGCUGUCUAGACGUCUGGGCCUGCCGGCUGCUCCAUCCAAAGCCAGGUGGGGGCCUUGUGGAGACUGAGCUUCAGGCCACCCUCCUGCAGCAAUGCCUUCCUCCUGUGGGUGGUUCUCGGCUCCAGAUGGCUAGGCGGAGGGGCUGCUGACCUCAUGCUACCCUUGUGUUUCUCCCCUUUGCCCCCCAGGCAGGAGGCCCAGGAUAGCUCCACUCCCUAAGUGCCACAGAAAUUCUGAGAACAGAUCUGACCAUCACGCCAAUUUGCUGAUGGCCAGGAUAAACAGACCCCCCCACACAUACACACACAGCCUCCCUUGUAGAAGCACCUGAAUUUGCAGCUCUCCAUUUCCAGGGAGGUGGUGGGGCAGAGUGGGAAGCAGCUGAGAGCAGCAGGUGUCCAUUCUGCCUCUUCUGCACCCUCACUGAGGGACCCCGGGAGCCCUGUGUGCCCCCCUGGGCCAAGUUUUCUUGUCCAAAGAUGAAGCCCCAAGGAUGGCCACAUGGCGGUUAGGAAAAAUCAAAUGACAGCUCCCUCCUGUGAUUUGCUCUGUGCAUAUCUGUGCAGCGCCUGCUCUGUGCCAGGAGCUGUGGCAGGUGCUGGGGACACAGUGAGCUAGGGAGGAAGUGGCCCCACUUGUGACCAGAGCUGAAGACCAGCCCCAAGGCCGUCUGACUCUACGCGUCACUGCUGCUUUCUACAAAAGCAGCUGACAGAAAAAAAUCAACUGAUAAUUAAAUACAAUGUCAUCUAUUUUUUUAACACCUAGAGAUGUCUCCUCUAAGGAAGUGCAGAAACAGCUGAACUGCAACAAUUACACACCAGUAUCCCAGCAGCUCUCAGUCAGCGUAACUCACCUACCAUUC